GAACAAUCAGUCCCUAAGCCACUUGUAUUCCAUGUCUUUUAAGCCUUUGUCUUAGUGGCAAUUUCUUAGUUUCCCUUUAUCAAACACUUUUUUGUUAUAUACAGUUAUUUCUAGACAGAAAAUAAUUUCACUUUAUCUUUGAUAACUUUAUGAUAUCUGCAUUUUCCUGUGUAUGCAUUUAUACAUAUGUCCAGAACCCAGUGGAUCCUGGAGCCCACCUACAACCUGCACAAGACCAGGCCACUGCAGGCUCAGGCAAGAACUACACAACUCAGGUACCUCUGUGCAUUGUCAUCUUGGUGGCAAGUGCUGAAAGGCUCUUACUUAUUCUUGUGAGAAUCCCCCAAGGCACAGUGUGUUGGAAGAAGCAUUUAGCUGUAAAUAGGGUCUUUCCCCACAUGUGCAUGCCUGUUUGCUGCUGUCUGAGUAGCAAGACAUUAUUGCUUUGUUUCAAAGCCAUAGUUGAGGAGCACAACAAAUCAUUAAGUGCUUCUGUUGCACCCCAAAGCUUGGUAGUACCCAGACAGUUGCCUCCCCAAAGCCAGACUUUAUGGCUCAAACACACAUGUUGUGCAGAAAAAGCUCUGAAUAAACUGUCAGAUUUGAAACCAAACACUUCCACACCUAGCCUACACUGUAAAUCAAGCUUUGGUGCUACUUUCCAAUCAGUUCCAUUACACAAGUAGUUUGAUUUAAUUCAAAUGUUUUAUGGCAAAGAUGUAUUUUAGCUAAAAUGGUAUAUUUGCAUGGAGUGGGGGUUAAAACUGGACAAUUUUAUUCAUGAAGUGAAAGGCUACAAGAUGGUAAGAGACAGGUAUAGGAGUGCAGGUGCAGUACCAAAUCCCUACCUGGCUGUCUCAGUACCUGGGCUUGGUGCCUCGAUUCCCUCAUGUUCAGCUCUGCAGCAGCCCCACAAUGUAUCAGAACUUCCUUUGAAGGCUUUCACUUUUCAUAUCAAAAAAAAACCAAACAUUUCCAUUAAUGUAUGCAAAAUUUUGCCCUUCUGAGGGUGAAGAGAGCCAGCACCCAAGCCUACUGUAUCAUCCUUAUUUCCCAGAAAUAAUAAUUCACCAUUAAAAUUAUUAAAGAGUAAAUGGCUGAGAUGCGUAAGCUCAAAAUUGAAGUAUUUCCUUUGAUCGUUUAAAAAUCUCUGCUUUAAUUUGAGUAACAUAUAUAUUUUUUUCCUUUUACAGUUUUGAAUGCUGCAUCUUACCAUAUGUGAAAUGUUUCUUAAAGGUGUCAAAGUGACUUGCCAUGGGUUUGGAAUGAGAACUAAAUUAAAUGUCCAUACUGUAGCAUACUUAUAUAAAUAAUGAGAUAUUCCAGUAUAAACCAUUCAUUUGGCAGUCAUUUCUACAUCAGCAACUACUAAGUGCUAUAGAAUUCCUGCCUAACUUUGACACAUGCAAAGAAAAUCAGGAAGGAAAAUGUGUGAGUAUGUUUGUAUUUUAUAGAAAAAGACAGCCUCUUGUAUUCCAUUGCCACGAAAGUAUUUCUAACAUUUUUGGAAAUAGUGCAAGAGGUUUAAGAAAAUUCUCUGGAUUCACAGCAGAAUGAUGGAGCAUUCAACUGCCUCAAACCACACUCCAAAAUUUGUUUCCAUAAUUUAGAAACAGAGAGGGUGGGAAUGGUUAACAAAGUCAUUAAUGAGUGCCAAGAGUGAUUUAUUAUGGGUGAUAUAGUUUCUUUGCUUUUAAGAAAAAUAUAUUAAAUAAAAAUUCUUCAUAAAAUAAGAAUUCUUUCCUAUUGAACCUUGCACAGAAUUUGCUUUAUUAGUGUAUUAUAUCACCACAUUGCCAGGUCUGGCAUUUCUCAUACAAAUGAUGUCUCAAAGUGCUAGCAAACUUGUGAACUGCAGUGCAAACCAUGUUAGGAAUAAAGCUUGUACAGAAAGACAACAGUAGCAAAGAUCCUUUUUGCUGGGGUUCUGGAGAUAGUUAACACUCUAGGACCCUUUUAUUUUUCAUAAGCUGCACAAGCUUGUGUCACUCUAGACUAACAAUAAUCAACACUUGAUACUGGAUAUUUAGAUCCAAUCUUUCCAAAAGCCUAACUGCUUUAGGCCAGUUUUUAGGUUGCAAAUCUUUUUCAUGUGGAGAUACAUGCAAAUAUAAUUUUAAAGAACUUGUGGUCAGUGAACCUUGUUGUCUAGCUGGAUUUUGUCUCAAGAAGCAUCAGGUAACUGUUAAAAUAGCAUCCAGAUUAGUUGGCAGCAGGCCUAGGGAUUGAUCCUGCACCUAUUGAAGGAAGUGCUCCAGGUUCCCAGUCUGCCAGAGGCAUGCAGUCUGGCCCAUAGGGACCAUGGACCUUUCUUAUCAGUAAGGUUUGAUGGGUUUAAGUCUGUAACAUGUUGGUUGGGAUGUGAGAGGGGACGUUUGCUGGCACCAGACAUGGAGUAGCUGUCUAUCUGUCUGUCCUUUUAUUUGCACAUGAUUCAUCUUCAAAAACUUUCACCAAUGCCUUGAAUGAUCCCUGAAAUCUCUCAGGAUUAAGAAAUAAAAAAAAAAACAAACUAUUCCAAUGUUUGUAUAUGCUGUGGUGACUUAAAAGAUUAAUAUCAUUUGGCAAAUGAUGGUGUCAAAGUUCAUAAAUGUAGCUAAUGGGUAUUCAGCAUGUAGCUUUUCAAAGGCUGCUCCAUGUUAAUACAGAAGUGUUUCUAAGUAAUUUAUGGGCACAAUACUGUUAUCUUCAAAACUAUAGUUAGUUAUGUGAAAUCACAGACUUUCAACAAAUAACUUGAUCUAGUGUCAAUCUUCAUUUAAUCAUGCAAAAUAAGACUGUUUCACAUUUUUGUUGCAACCAAUAGCUGAAGCUUACAGGCAGAAAGCGAAAGUUGUGUUACACUCUUUACAACCCCAUUCUCAGUCUGUCAUGAAGAGAAAAAAUCUGUCUUUCUGUGGUAGAGUACAAGGAACAGCAGAGUCCCAGCAAGGGUAUUGGUGUGCCUCCGCUACCCACCCAUGAUCUGGGUUACACCUACAACGUACAGAAGUACAUGAUGGCAAUGCACUUCCUUAGCAAAAUAUAUGCCUGUCCUGUAAUACAAUAUUUUUAAAGGUGUUUAGGCACCUUGUUCUGUGUAAUAUUAUACAGGAAAUUCAGGCUUCCCAAGAUGAAUCUAAAAUAUUGGUUACUGUUUCUUGGAGCUACAUUGUUAGCCAGGCACCCCAGACCAUUUGAGAGAGUAAGAACAUGGAUUUUGACUAGAUGUUAAUCUGGACUCUAGAGAAAAGCAAAUAUUCACUUCUUACAUGCUCUUCAGCACCCUUCCAAUAACAGCAGGAUUUUUUUCCUUCCAUCUGCUAAGGAUAAUUUACUGACAGCUUAUUGCUCACUUGGCCAUGGGUUGUGUAGAUUUCAUUAAUUAAACAUCUAUUUCUGUAAAGAUUUUAAACUUGUAUGAAGCAACAAAAUUGCUCUAGGUUUUUUGCUUAAAAUCCUCUCUGACAAGCAGUCUCACUAAGUAUUUCCUGAGCUAAACUCUGCUCCUCUGGCUUAAGAGUAUGUAUCAAUAACUCAGGGGUACAAAUGUGCCAAGGGGUUGCAAUUAUCCUCAAAACAAACAUUG